AACGAACGCUGGCGGCAUGCCUAACACAUGCAAGUCGAACGAGACCUUCGGGUCUAGUUGCGCACGGGUGCGUAACGCGUGGGAACCUGCCCUUAGGUUCGGAAUAACUCCCCGAAAGGGGUGCUAAUACCGGAUAAUGUCUUCGGACCAAAGAUUUAUCGCCUUUGGAUGGGCCCGCGUUGGAUUAGCUAGUUGGUAGGGUAAAAGCCUACCAAGGCGACGAUCCAUAGCUGGUCUGAGAGGAUGAUCAGCCACACUGGGACUGAGACACGGCCCAGACUCCUACGGGAGGCAGCAGUGGGGAAUAUUGGACAAUGGGCGAAAGCCUGAUCCAGCAAUGCCGCGUGAGUGAUGAAGGCCUUAGGGUUGUAAAGCUCUUUUAACCGGGAUGAUAAUGACAGUACCGGGAGAAUAAGCGCCGGCUAACUCCGUG
rnacentral:rRNA from 1 species